AACCAUUGUUUCGGCCUUUGCAGCAAUUAACAUGAUCUCAUAUUCGACUUUCUUUACCCACAAAUUGUUUUUCUUUUUCCUAAUAAACGGUGGGUCCCGCAAAAGAAAAAUUGUAAGUAAAGAACAGAGCCGGUCAAUGCGGAGCUAAGACUCGUCAGGGUUUCAGACUGAUGCAAUCCAGACCAACUCUCUGUUACUCCUGUCCUAUUUUUUUAAGUUUACGUCACUCACACUUCUCACUCGCCACCCUUUGGUGUAUUCAUCAGACGAUUUUGUUUCUUCUUCCUGGUUUGUCUCUGUGUUUCUAUGCGUAGUUUAUACGCGCCACGAGGUCAAAACCAGACGCUGGGUCAUGGUUGAUGACAAAGCCACUCGAGUCUUACACACGGCACGUGCACACGUGACUCCUAAAUCUCUUCUUCCUAUAUAUUCUCUUUGUCGUGCCCCCUUAAUUUGCGUGCGUGUCACACCCGUAGUAAUAUGAAUCUUGGUCCUAAACCGAAUCCCAAGUUUGACGACAACU